UACGUAGGGUCCGAGCGUUGUCCGGAAUUAUUGGGCGUAAAGGGCUCGUAGGCGGUUUGUCGCGUCGGGAGUGAAAACUCAGGGCUCAACCCUGAGCGUGCUUCCGAUACGGGCAGACUAGAGGUAUGCAGGGGAGAACGGAAUUCCUGGUGUAGCGGUGGAAUGCGCAGAUAUCAGGAGGAACACCGGUGGCGAAGGCGGUUCUCUGGGCCUUACCUGACGCUGAGGAGCGAAAGCGUGGGGAGCGAACAGG
rnacentral:rRNA from 1 species